rnacentral:sRNA from 1 species
UCUCUACCCGAUUGAGGAGUGGUUUACGCCACUCCUUUCUC